AAGAGCUAUAUUGGUGUGCCUUUCUUGGAUUCAGAUUCUUAUAUUCGAUAUUAGCUACCUGCAGGAGUAAUAUUUACCGACGAUGCUCAAUAUGGCUGAACCUGCCGGCUGCACGCGGUACAUGCUCACGCGCGACAACGGUCCGCACAUGUAUGCCGCGUCAGAGGUGUCGCUACGGCUCAUCGCUGAGCUGCACCUAUGAGCACAUGUUUGCGCCUGACUGCCUUGGCCCGCUCAUGGCCAUCGCAGACACUGUCAUAUUCAAAGAUUGAUUGAUCUGGUGCUCUGGAUCAUAGCUACACGUAGGAGUUAGUUCUGGCGCCUAAUUUGUGAAAAGGUUCCGAGGUUCUAUAGACAUUACUUCUUCUUGUUUUAUACUUUGUCUGAAUUGAGAUUUCAUUCCUAUUUUUUUCAAAAGUUAGUUGUAUCCAACAACAACAUAAUACAUGCUCACUGGGAUGUUUUGCUUUGAAUUUUUGGACAUUACAUGCGAAAGCCGUAGCAACCGAGUGCUCAUUAAACUUUCUUAGCGUAAAAGGUCCAGAACUGAUAAACAUGUAUGUUGGAGAAUCAGAGAAGAAUAUCAGGGACAUCUUUGAGAAGGUUAGAUCAGCACGCCCAUGAGUAAUUUUCUCCGAUGAGCUUGAUCCCCUUGCUUCUGCACGAGGGUCCUCUCGCAGAUUCUGGAGGUGUGAUGGACAUAGUGGUGUCUCAAAUAUAAUUAACCUCAUCAAUGAGGUGGUGACUGGUGUCUCGGUUUUUCCUCUCUUUUUUUACCUGUGCCUCAGUUUUCCUUCUUAUUUUCUAUGUUUAAAUGUUGGGUAAACUAAUUCAGUUUCCCUUUCUCUCUCUUUACUAGCACAAAUGCCUGAUGGAGAUGCAUAUGUUUGGCAUUCCAUCAGUAAACAUACACUUGUGUACUACAUUUUGUGAUUGUGUAGUAUCCACACCACUACUAAUGCUAAAGUCUGUUGCCUUGCCGUGUAAUUGUGUCAUAUGCACACCAAUACAAAUGCUCUAUGCUCUUGCCUGAGAACACGUGUUUUGCUUUAUAUCAUAUCAUCUAACAAAGAUGUAAACUCUUUAAGUAAAAACAUACUUUAGCACUAUGAUCCAGUAUGUAUUGAGUAGUGGAUUAAUGUAUGUAUUUGGUAUCCUUGCAACUACUUAUUUAUUGCUUGCACCAGAAAUACCAAUAAGUUACUAUUGAUAAUUCAAAUAUACUAUCAGGAAAAUGUAAAGACACUGACGCACUGGUCUCAACUAGCUCUGCUCUGGUGCCAUUCAACCAUAUUGGUUCUGCACCCCGAGCACUCAACCCUACGACGGAGUUGGUUCUGCAUACUGUCAUUUUCUCCCAUCGCAAUGCACGAGCUCAAAUCGACUUUGUUUACCGGUUCAGUUUAGUAGCGCAUCUCCUUGUGAUCGCAUCUGUUGUUUAUUCCAUGAAAGAAACAUGUAUGCAGUUUUUUGGGUUUGUCUUGAAGUUCGUAGGAUAUCGUAGGAAUUGAUCAUGAACUCGAUGUCCUAUCCAAGAAG
rnacentral:rRNA from 1 species